rnacentral:lncRNA from 1 species
UAUGAGAACAAGAUGGAUCAGGUGAGGAAUGGAUGGGUGGAUAUAUAUAGAGUACUGGGAGAGAAGACUGGAAUAGGGGGGAUACGUAGGGGGAAUAUAUAAACCUAGUGCAUUGGAACCUUCAUGUAACCUUUGAGGGUGACCCUAGGGAGGGCUCCUGGUAAGGGAGGAUAUGGAGCCUUAAUUUGCUGUCUUCUGUAAUCAUGUAAGGCUCCCAGGAGUGGAACUGCUACACCAACUCAGCCACCUGUUCUGACUGGGACAAUGAUGGUGCAGAGCCUGUGGGUAGCCAACCAAUGACUGGUCUAAUUUGAGGCCCAAGCCAAGGAAGGGCCCUAUUCCCAACACUGUCUGGAUGACCAGGAACUGGAAGCUGGAUGCCCCAGAGACCUACGGCACUGAGCCUAAUCAUCAUCAGAGAGGAUUCUGCCAGAGGCUGAUUGGAGCAGGUUCACAGACCUACAGCCAAACAUUAGCCAGAACUCAGAGAACCUUGUGGAAGAUGAGGAUGGAUUGUAGGAGUCAGAGGGGUUGAGGACACCAUUAGAACAAAGGUCAAGAAUCACCUAAGCAUGGCUCAUAGGGGUUCAUAGAAACUGAAGAUGCAACCGUGGAGUCUGUGUGGUCUGCCCUAGACCCUCUCAAUACAUGCUGUAGUUGUUUAGCUUGGGAUUUUCAUAUGACUCUUUUGUCUGCUUUUGGCAUACUUUUCUCCUCUUGGGUUUUCUCACCCAGAACUGACAUGAGGGUUUGUGCCAAGUCUUAUUACAUCUUGUUAUGCCCUGCUUGGUUG